rnacentral:lncRNA from 1 species
UGUAUCACUAUGAGUUAUAAUGCCAUCCAUUUAAGGUAUGAUGCUGUAACAAGGCUCUUCACAUGCUCCCAACUAAACCUCUGACUGUUUAAUAUGGAUAAAGCAUUGCAAUUCAUUUUCUUCAACUUAGAAAUUCAGAGAGUUCAAUUGUUUACUUACUCAGUCAACUUCCACUGAGGGUCAACGUCAAGCCAACAUUUGACUAUGUGCUGUUAAUACAAAAAUAAGUAGCACUCAUUGUCUCUUGGGUAUUGUGUGGUCAGACUUAUAGGAGACUGGAAUGGUGAUGAGACAUACAAAUAUAUUUCCCUUUAUUCAUAGAAGGUAUCAAGAAGCAAAGUGAAUACCAUGGGGAACAGUUCACAGUAAUUCCAGUUAGGAGCCUAAGAAAGAAGACUGCCAGAGCCUGACAAAUACAGAUGCGGAUGCUCACAGCCAAUCAUUGAACUGAGCACGGGGACCACAUGGAGGAGUUAGAAAGAACUGAAGAAGCUGAAGGGGUUUGCAACUCCAUAGGAAGAACAACAAUGUGAACUAACCAGACCCACCAGAGCUCCCAGGAACUAAACCGCCAACCAAAGUGUACACAUGGAGGGACGCAUGGCUCCAGCCGCAUAUGUAGCGAGGAUGGCCUUGUCAGGCAUCAAUGGGAGGGGAGGCCCUUGGUCCUGAGAAAGCUUGAUGCCCCAGUGUAGGGGAAUGCCAGGGCAGGGAGGCGGGAGUGGGUGGGUGGGUGGUGGAGCACCCUCACAGAAGCAGGGAGAGGGAGGAUGGGAUAGGGGAUUUCCAGAGGGGAAACCAGGAAAGGGGAUUACAUUUGAAACGUAAAUAAAGAAAAUAUCCAAUAAAAGAAAAGAAAAAAAAGAGAGAGGGCUUUGGAGGGAUGGAACAGCACUGGCUAUUCUUCUAGAGGGCACCUACCUGAUGGCUCACCACUGUCGGCCAUUCUGAUUCUGCAGGGUCCCAUGCCCUCUUCUUGCCCCUAUGGACACCACACUCACAUGGUACAUAUUUACACAUGCAACCAAAAUAUCCCUACAUUUAAAAGUAAAUAACAUCUAAAAGAGGGAAAGAGAAAUAGGAAAGGUCUUUUGCCAUCCCCUAUCUUGUAGAAGACAUACAGAAAGUGAGAGAUGACAUGUAGCUGAGAUGCAGUGUACGAAGGCCUGGAUCAUGGCUGGACUGUGAGAGACCAGGGGGACAUCAGCUACUUAAAGUCACAAACAGGUGCCGAAAGGAUAGAGAUCAAUACAGAGACAGGUAAAGUGUGUUCCCUUUAGUUGAGGGCUAGUCCAAAGAGAAGUGGGGGACUGCUUUAACUCCAGGAGACUGGCUAUGAUGUUGCCUGAAUAGACAAGAUCCUUCUUAUACUUACCUCACUUAGGGAGCUGGGACUCCGGUGAGACAGUCAGGUGGGGAGUUUCUUUCUUUCUUUUUUUUAAAUAUUUUUUUAUUAGGUAUUUUCCUCAUUUAAAUUUCCAAUGCUAUCCGAAAAGUCCCCCAUACCCUCCCCCUGCAGAGAUGGUGCAAAUGGAUGGUGCAAAAGCUAUGGCACCCGGAGGCUGCAGUUGGAGCUUUAGUGACGAUUCCUAUCUGUUUACAUUUCAUUGCUCCGCAUUCUGAUGAUAAUAUAUUCACCACAUGUGACUUCUUCACCUACAAGUCCAAAAGAUACAUCAAAUUCAACAGGUCACAUAUGAAUUCAUUAGCAAACCCCCCCCCCCAUUUGACUUUUUUUUGUAUUUUAUACCUUGAUCUAUUAAAAUAAUAAUUCUCUUACUCUUUGAAAGUUAUACACAUUUAAACAAAUGUAUAUUGAUCACGUCCAUCUACAACUACCUCCCUCUUAAGUCCCCAUUAUGCCCGCCCGCCACAUCUUCAUUAAUUAUUCACUAUCCAUAUAGAAAUCCAAGCUGGAAACCACAGCGCUCCUUGGUUCUUCCUUUCCUUCAGCAUUUACACUGAAUGAGCGUCUCCCGACCAUCCGUUCCACCUCUAAAAUGUCUUUGAAUCUGCUCAUUCCUCCAACCACUAUCCUCAUUUUCUCUCUCCUGGAUCUUUGUCAGAGCUUCCUAAUGGGUCUGCCUGUCUCCAGGGCAACCACUUUCUAUUCCACCCACCGAUCUGUGCCAGGGUGUGCUUUCUGAAUAGCAAAUCUGAUCUUGUCAACUUACACAAUUAAAAUCCUCCAGUGGAUCCCAGCCACUUACAGCAUGGAAAUUCAGGCUCCUGAGCUCAGCCUGAAAAGACUGUUUUUAAUUUGGCUUCUGCACCUUCCACCUGCAACUCAAGGCUGUUAAUUUCUGAG